rnacentral:rRNA from 1 species
UUCAAGGUUGUAGGGUGUGCCGUAGGUAAAUCCGCGGUGCGUGUGCCUGAGAGCUGACGAGUAGCCCGUUUGGGUGAAUUCGGUGAUCCUAUGCUGCCUAGAAAAGCAUCGGCGCGAGGUUCAAACUGCCCGUACCCUAAACCGACACAGGUGGUCAGGUAGAGAAUACCAAGGCGCUUGAGAGAACUCUGCUGAAGGAACUAGGCAAAAUGGUACCGUAACUUCGGGAGAAGGUACGCUGCCGAUGGUGAGUAGUCACGCACUACAAAGCUAUUGGCAGUCGCAGAUACCAGGCCGCUGCAACUGUUUAUUAAAAACACAGCACUCUGCAAACACGAAAGUGGAC